rnacentral:lncRNA from 1 species
CUACCUCAACAGCUUCAAUCUCCACUGCCGAGACCUCCACACAAGGUAGAACACUCUGUCUGCUGUUCUGUCAGUGCCUCUUCUUGGAGUUCUGUUUAUCAACUUGGAAUUCAAAACUUUUGUCCCCAACAUAUCCUCAGUAAAAACAGAAACCCAGGAGUCCCUUCCGCCAGUAUAUGUCUCUUCUUCCUUUUAUCUCUAGAGAUCUCUUCAACCUCAGUGGAAGGGACCUCUCCAUCUGGCAAGGUCUCUCUCAUGGUACUAGUUAAGUUAGUGAGACUAGCUUCUUGUAUGUCAUGUUCUAUUCAGAAAAUGAGCCUCAGUAAUGAUCACUUUUGCUGCAAAGUUAACCUCAUUGAAAAGACACAGCCGGCCUUUUCCACUCAUGUUUGUGUCCUGCUCUCUUUGUUAAUGCACGGAUGCAGCUUCAACUUCAGCAGAAGUGGACACACCCUCUGGUAAUGUUUUCUGCCUGUCGCAUUUCUAAGGUUCAAUAUGAUCAACAUUUUUUUCUUUCUCUGUAGCAAAUGAGCAUAUAUAGGUACUGGCUGUUCUGUCUAUGGUAUGAGCCUCAAUGUAAACAGAAACUCCAGCAUCCUUUUCACAGAAACUGAGGUUCAUAUUCUCUUCAUUUAUCCAUAGACACAGAAAGGGCCCCUUCACCAGGGCACGCCUUCUGCUUGCUGUACUGGUCUUGAUCAGAUGUGCCCAUGGGAGGCCAGGGCUGGGGGUCCACCCUCUCCUGCUUAGCCAUGUGUGUCAGGUUUCAGGUGAUGCUCUGAGCCAGCCAGCACACCUGAACUCACAGGUGGAAACACUGGGUUGUGAUAGGGUUAGUACUAUCCAUCUGCUCUUCUGUUUUCCACCAUGUAGUUGGUCAAAUCAAAACAUUCUUCUGCAUUUGCAGAUGUGACUUCCACUGCAGCUGAAGUAUCUUCUUUACCAGGUAUGCUCCCUGCUCCUUGAAGCAGCCCUGAUGAGUGACUUUCUGAGAAUGCUCAGCCCAGCAAGAGUUUACGCACCCAGAAUAAACACUUCUGUUUCCCCAGACGAGGUCAGGGGACAAGAGAAGAGAGGUCAGGGGAGAAGAGAGGAGAAGUCAGGGGAGAAGAGAGGAGAAGCCAGAGGAGAAGAGAGGAGAGGUCAGCAGAGUCCACUCAACUCCCCAGAGGAUUCCAGGACACUCCUCUACUGAGAGUCAUGAAACUGAAUGCAGUGUAGGUGGAUGCUGGGGAGAGGAUAAAUAGGAUAAAAUAGCUUAAAAUGUCAAGACUUUAGAGAUGGUCUAGAGUAGAAAUUCCCAAAUGUGCAUACAUGCGUGAGCCUCAUGUGGAACUUGUGAAAUGCAAAUUCAGUGGCGCCAGGUGGAGCUUUUCUAAGGCUCCCAGGCGAUGCCACUGCUGCUGGUCAUGGACCUGGUUGGGAGAGUAAGAUGUUGAACCAUCACCCUCAUUUUGGAGGAAAAUGAGGCCCAAAGAAGGAAGAGAUCUGCCUAAAGUCACAGAGCUAGGGCGAGGCAGAGCCAGGUGUCCUGACUCCUGUCCAAAGUCCUUUCUGCUGAUGAUUCCAUCUCUGUGAUUCUCCCAAAUCCCUAUGACAUUGACAUCUUCAGUAACAAGGCUCUGCUGCUUUCUUCUAUUUUAUUUAUUUUCUUCUUCUUUUUUUUUUCUUCAAGACUUGGGUACUUUGA